GGGGCUGAUCGGUUUCGACGGUGGUCGUGCUUCACAGUGAAGCGGGCCGAGGAUGAACGUUUAUCUCGUAAACGCUGCGUUCGAAAAUAUAGUUGCCGAUACUUCGCGCAACGACUUCGCCCUCGCCGCCUGAGCGAGCCCGAAGUCCGUGGGCCUGCACACCGCUUCCGGUGCAGUAACCCGCGUCGUCUAGGAAGCCACUGCUGGGUGCUCUCGCCGAUGGAGCACCCGGGACUUUUAGUCGGCUGGGCCUGUCCACAAAUGUGUUGGCGCUUGUGUGGGGGCCGAGAAAAUCCAUUCGCCAACUGCGCCCGGAGAAGCCUGCGAAAAACGCCACCGGACCCGGGUUCAAUUCCCGGCAGCUCCACCU
rnacentral:tmRNA from 1 species